AGGUGUCAGGGCGGCCACCGGGGAACGGGGAUCGGUGACCCCGGUGGGGAAAAGGGAAGAUCGUUCAUAUGGACAGAAGCGGAGGUGCUGGUGCACAGACGUCAGGGUUGACCGGCUGCUAUCGGUUACACCCUCGGAGCCUGACAUCACACUGUACAGAGGGAACAGGGACCGGGGUCUCUGCCGCCAGCGCCAGUUCGUCCAGGUUCUCAUAACGCACGGGGAGCCGGGCUGAUGCGUAACAUCUCAGCACAGGGUCAGGAAGCGGCGGUCAGGCACCGGAGAAAACAGCCAGUUACGUGAGGCGGUGUCCGGGGCUUCACGUUUCCGCUGAGCUAGUAGAUUUGGAAGGCUCCGACACUGAUUUUCACACUAGCAGGAGGGAGGGCGCUGGGUCACCCUCCUAUGGAGAAGGGCAGCCGAGGGUGCGCACUUCCCCAUCCCCUGCUGGAGCCUCACUUCCAGCCCAGCCUGGGCCCGCAGACCACCGCGGGUGGGAGUGCCGCAUCGGAGAGAAACUCACUGCAGAGCUGGGCUGUGUGCAGAUUUCCACCUUUGAGCUAAGAUAGGAUGAGGCAUAAGAGUCCUGCAGAUGGGCCUCUUUUUGAGGGCAAUGAAGGGGCAAAGAGGAAGCUGUAAAAAAGAAAAAAAGAAAAAAAAA
rnacentral:sRNA from 1 species